AUACAGCAAGAACUGAGGUUCUGAGAAAGAGGAAUGAAGACAAGAUAAAAUAUUAUUAAAUUAAAUGAACUAAAGCUGUGCUGGACAUCCUAAUCAUAACAUAAAGAGGAGCGAUGAAACAGGGGACACGAGAAUCGACAGAUGUAGAUAAAUAGCACAGUGGAGGAAGAGAGCAUGGGAAGAGCUGAAGUUAUUGUAGAAGAAGAGAGGGAAGGCAUUGUGUGCUGUAACAAUCACUGGGUGUUAGAUCCCCACAACGGAGCGAGAGACAGCCUGAAAAGGAGCACCGAAACAGGGUGGAGCAGGACUGGUGCACAGAGGGAAAAUGGGCAAGAAGUUACAGAGGAAAACAAGUUGAAUGAGUGACCUGAACGAGUCCAUGCUGAACUUCCAGUUUUAUGAGGAGCUCGUCAGGAGUACAGACAAAAUCCAUAGAAGAGAAAGGAUGCAGAGAAGCAGAAAAGCAGUAAAAACAACACAUAACAGUUACAGCUUGCUUAUGGCCUAUGCUCUUCUCUGGGAGAUUGUUUCCACUGUAAGUUUUAACCAAAUAAGUUCAUGA
rnacentral:lncRNA from 1 species